rnacentral:rRNA from 1 species
UGAAUACGAGAUGCUACGGCGUCGAAGCAGUGUAUGUCAGACUUCCAAGAAAAGCUCGCAAUGUCAUAAAUAAAGAAUGCCUGUACCAUAACCGACACAGGUGGGUAGGUAGAGUAUACUAAGGGGCGCGAGAUAACUCUCUCUAAGGAACUCGGCAAAAUAACUCCGUAACUUCGGGAGAAGGAGUGCCUUCUUUAAGAAGGUUGCAAUAACAAGAUCCAAGCAACUGUUUAUCAAAAACACAGGUCUCCGCUAAGUCGUAAGACGAUGUAUGGGGGCUGACGCCUGCCCAGUGCCAGAAGGUUAAAGAAGCUGGUUAGCAAUAGCGAAGCUGGUGACUGAAGCCCUGGUGAACGGCGGCCGUAACGAUAACGGUCCUAAGGUAGCGAAAUUCCUUGUCGGGUAAGUUCCGACCCGCACGAAAGGCGUAAUGAUUUGGAUACUGUCUCGGAGAGGGACUCGGUGAAAUAGACUUGUCUGUGAAGAUGCGGACUACCUGCACCAGGACAGAAAGACCCUAUGAAGCUUUACUGUAACCUGAAAUUGAAAUUGGACUUUAUUUGCGCAGUAUAGGUGGGAGGCGUUGAAAGUAAUCUUGCGGGAUUAGUGGAGCCAUCAGUGAGAUACCACUCCUAUAAUGUUAGAUUUCUAACUUUGGAUCAUGAUCUGGUCAAAGAACAGUUUCAGGCGGGCAGUUUGACUGGGGCGGUCGCCUCCCAAAUGGUAACGGAGGCGUACAAAGGUUUCCUCUGAACGGGUAGAAAUCGUAUCUAGAGUGUAAAGGCAUAAGGAAGCUUGACUGUGAGACCUACAAGUCGAGCAGGGACGAAAGUCGGUCUUAGUGAUCUGACGGUGCUGAGUGGAAAGGCCGUCACUCAACGGACAAAAGUUACUCUAGGAUAACAGGCUGAUCUCCCCCAAGAGUUCACAUCGACGGGGAGGUUUGGCACCUCGAUGUCGGCUCAUCGCAUCCUGGGGCGGUAGUACGUCCCAAGGGUUGGGCUGUUCGCCCAUGAAAGCGGUACGCGAGCUGGGUUCAGAACGUCGUGAGACAGUUCGGUCCAUAUCCGGUGUAGGCGUUAGAAUAUUGAGAGGAGCCUUCUCUAGUACGAGAGGACCGAGAAGGACAUACCUCUGGUGUACCAGUUAUCGUGCCAACGGUAAACGCUGGGUAGCUAUGUAUGGAGAGGAUAACCGCUGAAAGCAUCUAAGUGGGAAGCCCACCUCAAGAUGAGUAUUCUCAU